rfam:Nosema ceranae BRL01 Nc000335, whole genome shotgun sequence.
GGGGUCAUAGCUUAAUGGUAAAGCGGUUGCUCCGCAAGCUGCAAACCCGCGUUCGAUUCCCGGUGACUCCA